rnacentral:rRNA from 1 species
GUAUGUGGCAAGCGUUGUCCGGAAUUAUUGGGCGUAAAGCGCGCGCAGGCGGUCCUUUAAGUCUGAUGUGAAAGCCCACGGCUCAACCGUGGAGGGUCAUUGGAAACUGGGGGACUUGAGUACAGAAGAGGAAAGCGGAAUUCCAAGUGUAGCGGUGAAAUGCGUAGAGAUUUGGAGGAACACCAGUGGCGAAGGCGGCUUUCUGGUCUGUAACUGACGCUGAGGCGCGAAAGCGUGGGGAGCAAACAGGGAUUAGAUACCCUGGUAGUCCACGCCGUAAACGAUGAGUGCUAAGUGUUAGGGGGUUUCCCGCCCCUUAGUGCUGCAGCUAACGCAUUAAGCACUCCGCCUGGGGAGUACGGCCGCAAGGCUG